UCAUGAAAGGUCAGAGAUCGAUGUGUCACCUCCCAGUCCCCUCCACAGGGCCAUGGGAGAAAAUGGAGUGGUGGUUGGGUAGAUGAUGCCCUUGAGUUCUUCCAAACUCUGAGGAAGGAGAAAGAAGACUCGGGUGGAACUAGAAAGAAGCUGGCUGCAGAGCUGGCCCAAAGGCCCCUCGUGCAGCAAAGCUCCAGGUGGGGAAAACGUCGGUGAGGAGGGAGAUUCAACAAUGCAAGUCCAAGGUGAACUUCUCUGGAAAGUCUCUCUCCCCUCUGGCAAAACACAGAAACGCACAGUGCCAUGUAUUGGCACUGACUCUGUGCCAGACUCUUCACAUGGACCCAUCAGGUUGAUGCUAUGGUGGUUUAUUGUUGUUGUUAUUCCCAUUUUAUAGAUGAUAUCUCUGAGCACAGAAAGGUUAAAAGACUUCCACAGGUUGGACAGCUGGUAAAUAGGGUAUCUGGCGUUUGAACUGAUGCAUUCUGACUGUACUACACAUUCCCAAUCAUGCUACUCGAGUGCCAUGCUGGGAAGAUCUGUUUCCCACUGGGCAGUUUUCCCAGUGGUGAGGGGUUGGGAUCGCCCAAUUCUGAGAGGCAGUCACUCCUGAUGGUGAGAGCAACUUCUGAGCAGCUUCCGUGGUAUCUUGGAGGUGAAAAAGCUGGUUGGGUGUUUAGCCCCAAAGCCACCAGCUGGCUCCCAGGGAGAACCAUAGGAGACUCUUAGUGGAGCAGAGUAAGCAUGGGUUGCUCCUGGAGACAAAAAGGACUCCGGAAGAAGGGGACCUGACUGGAGGAGCAGGGCAGGUUGGAGGAGGAGGAGCCGGCAAUCCUUGCAUCAGGGAUUGGUCUAAACUGUGGACUGCUGAGGGCCUUUGAGGCAGGGAGAAAGUCCUGCUGUGCUGCACUUUCUCCUUGGUUUUGGGCUUUUGUGGAGACCUGCUGCUUGGACCGGUUUUGGCUGUCUUCUGACUGUGAAGGUGGAUAUUAUAGAGAGAGUUGACAUAUGUAAAUAAAGGCUUGAGUCCUUGUCGAUGCAACUGAGUUUCAGAAUCGCCUAUUUGGGACAUCUUGGUAGGUUGGCUUUUCUGCGGAUUGAAGUCCAAAGAAUCUAACUGAUAGACAUACUUUUUCCCUAACUCAUCUAACAUGAGCAGGCACAAAGCAAACCCUUCAGCAAAGAAUUGAUAAACACUCUGGUUUUGUUAUGGCUUAAAGCGAGAUUCUGGACCCCGGAGGAUUUCUGAGGAGUUUGACUGUGCAGUCACAUGACAGAGGAACUGGAAACUAACUUGAACAAAAGGUAGCAGGCUGGACGGCCAAGGAAUCUCCUUUUCUGUCAAGACAACAAGCUGCUUACCUCAGAAUCAGCUGCUUCUUUGUUUAGUUCUUUUUCUCUUCCUGAAGGAUUUGGAACUGAGAUCCAUCCAUCCAUCCAGCAAAUAUCUAUCACACCCCCUGUAUGUGAGCAUUUACCUAUGUGGCGGUAAUGGGGACCCUGGGUUCCCCUCAACCGGGUGCUAUGUGCACUGUAACAACUGUGGCAGUGCUGUGGGCUGUGGGCUGUGGGCUCUUUUGUCAACAGCCUCCUGCUCCCAAAGCUGGGCCCUUCUAAAGAUGGUGUCAGAGAGAGCCCUUGAGGAACUCAGCCUAGCAAAGAGUUAUCCAGUGACAACCAAGCAGAGCCACUGCGUCGGGUGUGAAAAGACAUGCUGCCAGCGUACUAUGGGUGCUAUCGCACUGAAACGUGCAGAAUGGGUGUCACGGCAUGGAAGAAAGUCUCUGAGCAGAGACUUAAGAAAUGCAGCCUCACCAACAGUCACUUGACAGAUGAGGACACAGACCCAGAGAGGACAAGUCGCUCAUCUUACAUGUGUUAACCCAUCAAGCUGUACACUUAAGACUUACACACUUUACUCUUGGGUAUGUUUUAUUUCAGUUAAAAAAAGCAAACAGGAACAAAAGAAAAAAUGACCCUUGAUAUUUUUUGCCAUCACUGAGAAAAAGGAAUAAAGGCAGAACUUUGAAUAAAGAGAAAAUCAAUGAUACUUUACAUGUUUUAAAUUAGUCAUUAUGAGAAUGGUCUAAUUAAUUUAUCAUCCCUCUCCUGCUAGAAGCUCUUCUAAAUCUUACAUUGAAGUUUCAACUUCGGUUUCAAUGAGAUGCUUCUAAACUUGUGAUGAUGUGUAAUAGGGGUGCCGGGAUCUUCGUGUUGAUCUUAGAGUUCAGAGUCAUGUCCUGAAGUUGUUGGUUCCCACUCUGGGGUCAGGAGUGGUCACAAAGAUUCUGAAGAGUCUAGAUGUUUGUAAGAUGACAAGCUCUCGGUGACCUUUUGAGCCUCAGCAGUUUGCCUUGGCCAGUUAGGUUUAUCUCAGAUCAACCUCGAUAUAAGGAACCCUGAGGGUAUCAGAUGUCAGCACUUGCUCAGAGAACGAACGCCUACCUCAUCUCUCCCACCCCCGGAGGGACAGGAGUGCAUUCUAAUCUGCACAAGGGGAGUUUGUAGGCUCACUGAAGGCCUGGGGUGGAAUGAACUUCCAGUAUGUCUGGGUUCAGGGCUCAAACAAUGUCAUCAGGAUUCAAUUUCCCUCUACCUUGAGGUUCUUCCACCGUGUUAGUCACAAUCUCCGGAGCUCCAAUGUUGCUCCGCUCAGCUCCGGGUGUUCCCUCAUGCUGACAAGAAGGAGGCAGUGUCUUCAACCUCUGGAUCUCCUCAGCUCUAAGUCCAGUUGGGAGAGAAACACACUUUCCCUCUUACAGCAUUCUCAGGAGUCAUUAGGUCUCAUUGGCUCUGAGUGGGUCACAUGUGCUGUGCUGAGCCAAUCACUGUGACUGUGGAAAUGCAAUGUAUUGAUUGGCUUAGGCCUAGGUCACAUGCUUCUUCCUCAGAGCUCUUCCCAGAUAACUGGACAGCUUCUGUCCCUUCUCAUGAGGUUUCCUCCUGCCACUGCCUCUCUGCCUUCUUCUGGUUUCAUAGGACCAUCACACAUCUGUUGCCCAGCGGCUGUGAGGUGCAAUUACCUGGCUACCUGGGUGGAGAACAGGCCACACAUCCUAAUGGCUUGUGAAGUUAGUAUUCUCACCUGCCUCUGGGGUUGGCAGCACCUCAGCCCUGGCCAGUAUAUGAGAUGGGUGCCGUCAUGAGGCAAUCCAAUGGUUUUCAGGUGCCCUACCACUCCCUCCCCCAUCCUACAAACGCACUUUCUUCCCCUCCACCCUUGAUGGAUAGAGGACCCCUGGUCACAUCUCUUUGCUGUGUUGGUGGCCACUUGAGAAUGCUGGCAAGUUGGUCCAUUGUAUGCAGCUUUUCUCCAUGGCUAGCUCUUGUCCAUGGGUCCACUGGACCACAGGUGGCUCACAACCUGUCACAGGUUGCAGACAGUCAACAGGCACCUUCUCUUUUCACCCCCUCACUGAGUUGUACCACUCCAGGCCUGACCAUAGCAGCCAUGCUUACUCUGUAGAGGUCUAUGCGUGUUACCUCAGGCCUGUGUGUGUGUGUGUGUGCACGCACCCACGCACAGCAGGGUCACCUCCCAAUAAUCCAGGCAAGAAGCAAGUGUAACUAGUUUAUGGGAUGGAAUAUACCUGGUCAGGUACAAUCCAAGGCUGAAGCAAAACCUGACGUUCCAUGUCUCAAAUUAUUGCCUGUCUUAUUCUGAGUGUUAACGUGAAACUAAAAACCUUAGGUUUGGGAUCUCAAAGGGUCGGUACUACUGAUAAAAAUUGCUGAUUGCAUGCAUACACUUGGUUAGUGCAACAUUGACAUGCAUUUCCUUCGAUAAGCUACGCUGGGAGCAGGUUAAUGGAAAGGGGCUGGCACAACCUUCUUGGGAUGGGCUGUCUGGCCGGCUGCCACUAAGUCCCAGCUGGAGCAUCAGUGACCUCUGCUGGCGAGAUUUUUCUCUCUGGUCUGCACAACAGUUGGCAUCUCCUCCAGGUCUGUGUGUCCGGUACAGCGUUCUUCAGAGAGAAGCCGCAAGACUGACGCCCAGCGAAGGUAGGGAAGACUGAGAUUUUAUGCUAAAACAUUUACAGGGGUUAGAGGUCACAGCAGGCAGGAGUUUAAGCAUUGAUCGCAUCCCUGCCUUCAUCAGCUGUUUCUCAAAUGCGGACAUUACUCACUCUCCACAUAUAAACGUGUUUUCUUUCUUUUUUAAAAUACUUUUCUCAAGAAGAACAUAUGCAAAAACAAGUUUCACAUAAACAAAUUUAUGAGAUUUCUUAAGAAUAACAUGUUUGCAAGUUGAGGAAAUGAGGUGAAAACACUCUGUCAAAAUGAGUUCACUUUUUUACGUGUGUGUCAGGGGAUGAGGCAUCCUUUACAGAUACCUACCCAAAUCACACGCUCCACGUUGGCACGUCCUCUCACCCACAGACACAUGGGAAAUGCUGUUGCAGGACAAGCCCUGAGCGCACCUCUAAGCCAGGCAGACCUUUUGUAACCGGCCGGGUACGUCUAUAAUGGGAGACUCUGGACAGCAAAGUCGAAGCCAUCAUGGCAGGUCUUGAGAGUCAUGCUGAUGCAGAGUUACUGACUUAGCAGCUCUUGUCCCCGUGGGACCAUGUGGUGGGCACUUGAGGGCCUCGCCCAGCCUGCCUGCCUUCUCUGAUUAUUGCGUUUGCCUUCAGGGAGGGGCCUCUGCAGCCAUAUUCUCACAGGACUCGGUCCCUUUAACCAGAGCUAACAGACCAAGGGGAACCAAUCCCUUCAAUGGGCUUGAGGGAGGGUGGGAACCAGAUAUCCUUUUCCAGAAACUGGCAGUCAGGACACAGGGGCGACAGUCAGGCUCUGGUGGACACUUAGCCUGUGAGGUCCUAUCGGGCUGGCCUGCAUCUUCCACUGCAGACAGAGAGAGGCAGAGAAGGCCGGUCAGCACAGAGAGAAGUGAGCAAAGGUGACAGGAGGGGGACGCAGAGACGAUGAGGUGAUGUGGAGAGAGAGAAGGUCUCUGCUCCCUGGUUCCAGUUUCCAUCCAUCCUCCCCUACGUUCUCUCUUACGCUCCUAUUUCCUUCCCACGUCCCAUUUUGUUUCAACAAAAAAGACCUGGAAGACAGAUGCCCUUCUGCCUAGUUUGCAUUUAAUACAGAGCAAAAUAAUUCCAAACACUUUUGCUUGAGAGCUCAGAAUUUGAAUUAUAUUUAUCCAAACUGUCAGGAAUCUUCAGGAUGGAGUGAGAUGUCUGUUAACUGGAUUUUCUGGAGAAAUGAGAGUUAAGCAGAAAACUGUUUUUCUGUUUGUUACCACCUUUGUUAUAGAAAUCUGUCUAAAAUGCAUGAAUAAAGAAAAAAUUGGAACAACUUAAAUGUCUACCAUAGGACACUGGUUAGAGAUUCAUACAAUGGAGUACUAUGCAGGCAUUAAAACAAUAAGACAGAGCCAUAUGCCCCACCAUAGAAGGUUCUCCAUGACGUAUUUUAAAAUAAACUAAAGUAUUGAAUGCUAUGUGUAGUGUGCUCUCAUUUGUGUAAAAAAAAUUAAGAAGGAAAUAAAAAUAUAAAAGUUCAUAGAUACACAUGCAUAUGUGCUUGGAUAUGCAUAGGAUAUCUGUGGGGUUACCCAAGAUCUGCAACGGUGCAUGCCACUAAGGAGAAGCCUGGGGGCAGAACGAGAUGGAAACUUAUUUUUCUCUGUGUACCCUUUUGUACUAUUGGAAAAAACUUUUUUUUAAUUACCAUGUACAUGUAUUAGUUCUUUACAUACAUAAUAUAUUAGCACAUUCAAAUGCA